GCUCAGGAAGCAGCUGUGUCCUAGCAGUAUCAAAGUGCUCAUAGUGCAGGUAGCUUGGCAUUGGACCUACUGUAAUGUGGGCACUUACAGUACUGUUAGAUAAAGUGCGUCCCGGCUCGGG
rnacentral:pre_miRNA from 7 species